rnacentral:rRNA from 1 species
GAUGAACGCUGGCGGCGUGCUUAACACAUGCGAGUCGAACGAUGAAGCCCAGCUUGCUGGGUGGAUUAGUGGCGAACGGGUGAGUAACACGUGAGUAACCUGCCCUUAACUCUGGGAUAGGCCUGGGAAACUGGGUCUAAUACCGGACAGGAGCGUCCACCGCAUGGUGGGUGUUGGAAAGAUUUAUCGGUUUUGGAUGGACUCGCGGCCUAUCAGCUUGUUGGUGAGGUAAUGGCUCACCAAGGCGACGACGGGUAGCCGGCCUGAGAGGGUGACCGGCCACACGGGGACUGAGACACGGCCCAGACGCCUACGUGAGGCAGCAGUGGGGAACAUUGCGCAAUGGGCGCGAGCCUGAUGCAGCGACGCCGCGUGAGGGAUGACGGCCUUCGGGUGGUAAACCUCUUUCAGUAGAGAAGAAGCGAAAGUGACGGUACCUGCAGAAGAAGCACCGGCUAACUACGUG